rnacentral:lncRNA from 1 species
AUGUUGUUAAGGAGGUUGCCGUCACAAUUGAGGUUGGGUCCUCUGUGGGUUUCCAACCAGAUGGUUUUCAAAGAGAGGGAGUCAGGGAUUCGAGGAAGGUGGAUUGGGUUAGGGGGCUAAAGACGUCGCAUGGGGUUCAUUUUUUAGCAGUACAGGAAACAAAAAUGGGGGUAAAUGCAAAUUUCAGAUGGAGUAGGUUUU